rnacentral:rRNA from 1 species
AGUCGAACGAUGAAGCCGGGGCUUGCUCUGGUGGAUUAGUGGCGAACGGGUGAGUAACACGUGAGCAACCUGCCCUGGACUCUGGGAUAAUCGCUGGAAACAGCGUCUAAUACUGGAUACAAGACGUGGCCGCAUGGUCAACGUUUGGAAAGAUUUUUCGGUCUGGGAUGGGCUCGCGGCCUAUCAGCUUGUUGGUGAGGUAAUGGCUCACCAAGGCGUCGACGGGUAGCCGGCCUGAGAGGGUGACCGGCCACACUGGGACUGAGACACGGCCCAGACUCCUACGGGAGGCAGCAGUGGGGAAUAUUGCACAAUGGGCGCAAGCCUGAUGCAGCAACGCCGCGUGAGGGAUGACGGCCUUCGGGUUGUAAACCUCUUUUAGCAGGGAAGAAGCGAAAGUGACGGUACCUGCAGAAAAAGCGCCGGCUAACUACGUGCCAGCAGCCGCGGUAAUACGUAGGGCGCAAGCGUUAUCCGGAAUUAUUGGGCGUAAAGAGCUCGUAGGCGGUUUGUCACGUCUGCUGUGAAAUCCCUAGGCUCAACCUCGGGCCUGCAGUGGGUACGGGCAGACUAGAGUGCGGUAGGGGAGAUUGGAAUUCCUGGUGUAGCGGUGGAAUGCGCAGAUAUCAGGAGGAACACCGAUGGCGAAGGCAGAUCUCUGGGCCGUAACUGACGCUGAGGAGCGAAAGGUUGGGGAGCAAACAGGCUUAGAUGCCCUGGUAGUCCACCCCGUAAACGUUGGGAACUAGUUGUGGGGUC